CCAGAAGUAAAAUCUUGCGUAAUUUGGUCAUCAGAAUCUGCCCAUGGGAGAUUACCUUCAAUUUUGUACAUUUUAGUCAUUUAGCAGAUGCUCUUAUCUAGAGCAACUUACAAUUAAAAUAACUUUAUGUUCAUCUGUAUUGCAUUUGACACAGGUGUUAGAUUUGUCCUACAACAAUCUGUCUGGAGAUGUCUGUUGGUCUACUUCUCUAUCUGAAAGUCUUUCAUCUCACCGGGAAUCAGCUUCAGGCCCUUCCUCCCAACAAGGCUGCCCCUCGCCAUGACCUCUCACAGCUACUACAGCAUUGAAACCUGCAGGGGAACCACAUCUCAGUAGUACCAGAGGUGUUACCAAGGAACCUGCAACAGAAGGGGUAUUUGCAACACCAGCAGGUGUCUCUCAAACAAAAUUGUGAUGAACAGGACUUCAGGAAUCCCCCUGUCUCUGAGGGGUAGGAGACUGAAUACAUUAAUGGAUGUGUGGUCAAUCCAAAAAACGAUUCCCCCACUCACAUAUUCCUUGACACUGGGGCUGAGGACAGAGAGGAAUUGUAUGGAGUAUACGGUUUGCCACCACCAGAGCUUUGUUUCCUCAAUGUGGCUGACAAUAAGGUGCCCCCCUACUGCUGACUUACUUCCUCCAGGAAAGGCUGGGUAUUAGAAUUAGGUAAAAAUGAAAAUUCCAAAGGUGCCUUUAUUGAUGCUCCUUGACGCUGCUGGCUCUCUGGAGGUGAAAGAUGUUGAAGAUCACACUAUACAAUAGUCAUCAGAUGACCCUUCCAAAAUGAGGAGUCAUUCUUUUGUGGUGGCUGCUGAGGGAAGAACUUUUCAUAACAGUGGCGGUCAGUGCUGUUUAUGAUGAGGGAGGAAUUUAUUAAUUUUUUUCCUUCGUGAGCAUGUCCUCUAUUACAGCGUGUUGGAUGACUGUCAUUCAUAUUGUAUUCACCCAGUUCAAUGUAACAUUGAUGGUUUAGGCUAUUACAUGAUUCUCAAAUUUUCCCUAUACCCACCAUGAUGUUGCUACAACCUAGUUUAUGUCAUUUAAGAUUAGACAGUGACACAUUCAAUACUGCCUUGCCUGCAUCGCUUAUCUAGUGUGUAAUUAUUAGUACAACAGUUACAAACAUGUUUCUAUUGGCCAAAUCCUAGUGUUUUCUUUAUUUUUAUCCUAAUUUUGUUUGCUUCCGUUUUAAGAAAUGUUUUUCAACAGAAUCGUCGGAAUGAAUAAACCCCUGAUCACAAAUAAACAAAGUUCAGCCUCA
rnacentral:lncRNA from 1 species